rnacentral:rRNA from 1 species
AUGUUCCUCGUCCGCCGCCGCCUCCUCUCCACCGCUGCGGCGGUUGCCGCUGCUCGCGGCCCACCGCCGGUCCGCGUCGCCUUGACGGACUCAGCCGGCCGCGGAGUCUUCGCUACCCGCCCCAUCGCCAGCGGCGAGGUCCUCCACUCGGCGCAGCCUCUCGUGACCCAUCCGUCCCGCUCUCUCUUCCACGAGGUAUGCUACCGCUGCCUCAAGAGGAAAGCGGGGAAGAGCGACGACUUGAAAGGGGGCUGCUACUUCUGCAGCGACGCGUGCCGGGAGCAUGCCGAGGGAUUCCAUGGCAUUGAGAAGAAGGCGGAUUGGUCUUUGUUAGAUGACCACUGUAGUUCACGUGGUCUCAAGUACCCAUACAUGGUCAAGCGGCUGGCUUGCAUGGUUAUAUCAGGAGACGUUGGUGCAGAUUGUCUUGACAUUCUUCAGCCAGCCCAAUUGCACCAGGGUACACUUAUUGAGAUGGACGAGGAGUUCGAAUUGUUGAAGUCCACUUUUAGGAAGGCAGGGUUUCAGGAAGAACUCACAACUUUUUUGACCAAACAAUGGUACAUCAAUGUACUUGCAAGAAUACGUGUCAAUGCAUUCCGUAUUGAAUUGGUUGCAAGUUCAUAUGAGGAUCUUCUAUCCUCAGCAGUAGCCUCGGUAGCAUGUGAUGCAUCAGUUGGCAAUGCUGUAUAUAUCCUCCCCUCGUUCUACAACCAUGACUGUGAUCCAAAUACUCACAUAGUUUGGCUGGAAAAUGCAGACGCUAAAUUGACGACCCUUCGUGAUAUUGACGAAGGUGAAGAGCUGCGUAUCUGCUACAUUGAUGCAAGCAUGGAUGUGAACGCCAGGCAGAAGAUUCUCACUGAAGGAUUUGGCUUCCAGUGCCGUUGCCAACGGUGCUUAUCUGGGGACUAA